rfam:Salmo salar isolate Sally breed double haploid chromosome ssa19, whole genome shotgun sequence.
UCUGGCCGAUUUUGUAAGUCGCUCUGGAUAAGAGCGUCUGCUAAAUGACUUAAA